AUAGCCAAAUAAAUAAAGAAAUUAUUUAAUAUCUGGUCAAGAGUGGAAAGGUGCUGCUGAACUCACUGCUUACAAAGCUGCUCAGGACAUUGCUAACUCUGAAUUGGCUCCUACUCAUCCGAUUCGUCUUGGUCUCCUCUCCGCUCCGAUAGCCAAGUCCGAUCUGCUUCAUAAUGAGAGCUUAUAGUCUUUGAUUAUAUCUGAAUCGAGUUCAUACCACAAUUCUUUAGCCAUUAAAAUCACUAAAUUCAUCGUUGAAUCGACUUGAUGAAAAACGCUGGGUAAAAGAGGGUGGAUGUUCAAAAGGCGGUCCAACACAUGAUCUGUAGGACAAUUCCGCAAAUCUUUAUUUUUUUUUUUUGUUGAAAAAACACAAAUUUGUUUAAAACUUGUUGAUUGGUGGAUGUUGUGCGGUUUUGAAGAAAAACAACUCAAAUCUGCUUUUCCUUUGUCACCAUUCACUACCUAUAUGUUUUUGAAAGUUUCCUUAGCUUUUGACAAUAUUCAAACAUGUUUAAAAGUUGUUA